rnacentral:rRNA from 1 species
AGUGAACGCUUGCGGUAGGCCUAACACAUGCAAGUCGAACGGCAGCACAGUAAGAGCUUGCUCUUACGGGUGGCGAGUGGCGGACGGGUGAGGAAUACAUCGGAAUCUACUUUUUCGUGGGGGAUAACGUAGGGAAACUUACGCUAAUACCGCAUACGACCUACGGGUGAAAGCAGGGGAUCUUCGGACCUUGCGCGAUUGAAUGAGCCGAUGUCGGAUUAGCUAGUUGGCGGGGUAAAGGCCCACCAAGGCGACGAUCCGUAGCUGGUCUGAGAGGAUGAUCAGCCACACUGGAACUGAGACACGGUCCAGACUCCUACGGGAGGCAGCAGUGGGGAAUAUUGGACAAUGGGCGCAAGCCUGAUCCAGCCAUACCGCGUGGGUCAAGAAGGCCUUCGGGUUGUAAAGCCCUUUUGUUGGGAAAGAAAAGCAGCAGGUUAAUACCCCGCUGUUCUGACGGUACCCAAAGAAUAAGCACCGGCUAACUUCGUG